CACGUAGGGGGCGAGCGUUGUCCGGAUUUAUUGGGCGUAAAGAGCUCGUAGGCGGUUCGGCAAGUCGGGUGUGAAAUUUCGAGGCUCAACCUCGAAACGCCACUCGAUACUGCUGUGACUGGAGUCCGGUAGAGGAGUGCGGAAUUCCUGGUGUAGCGGUGAAAUGCGCAGAUAUAGGAGGAACACCAACGGCGAAGGCAGCACUCUGGGCCGGUACUGACGCUGAGGAGCGAAAGCGUGGGGAGCGAACAGG
rnacentral:rRNA from 1 species